rnacentral:rRNA from 1 species
AGAACGAACGCUGGCGGCAGGCCUAACACAUGCAAGUCGAACGCCUUAGCAAUAAGGAGUGGCAGACGGGUGAGUAACACGUGGGAACGUACCCUUCGGUUCGGAAUAACUCAGGGAAACUUGUGCUAAUACCGGAUACGAUCGCGAGAUGAAAGAUUUAUCGCCGAAGGAUCGGCCCGCGUCUGAUUAGCUAGUUGGUGAGGUAAUGGCUCACCAAGGCGACGAUCAGUAGCUGGUCUGAGAGGAUGACCAGCCACAUUGGGACUGAGACACGGCCCAAACUCCUACGGGAGGCAGCAGUGGGAAUAUUGGACAAUGGGCGCAAGCCUGAUCCAGCCAUGCCGCGUGAGUGAUGAAGGCCUUAGGGUUGUAAAGCUCUUUUACUCGGAAGAUAGUGACGGUACCGAGAGAAUAAGCCCGGCUAACUUCGUGCCAGCAGCCGC